GACAGAGGGUGCAAACGUUGUUCGGAAUUACUGGGCGUAAAGCGCGUGUAGGCGGCCCUGCAAGUCGGGUGUGAAAUCCCACGGCUCAACCGUGGAAGUGCACUCGGAACUGCAGGGCUAGAGUCCUGGAGAGGAAGGUGGAAUGCUUGGUGUAGAGGUGAAAUUCGUAGAUAUCAAGCGGAACACCGGUGGCGAAGGCGGCCUUCUGGACAGUGACUGACGCUGAGACGCGAAAGCGUGGGGAGCAAACAGG
rnacentral:rRNA from 1 species